rnacentral:tRNA from 1 species
AGGGGUAUAGCUCUAUGGUAGAGGAUGUGCUUAACAGGCACAAGGCCCUAGGUUCAAUCCCUGGCACCACAG